rnacentral:tRNA from 1 species
GGGGGUAUAGUUCAGGCGCAGAGCGCAUGCUUAGCAUGCACAAGGUCCUGGGUUCAAUCCCCAGUCCCUCCA